AGGAACUGGAUUUUGGUUUGAGUGCAUCAAAUAUCAUCACUUUGAGUCACAACACGUCAGUGCUGUGAGCAAGAUGCUCAGGGGCAGAUCAGGGAAUUACAGAGUCAUGGAAUCAUGGAAUUACAGAAUCAUGGGAUCAUGGAAUUACAGAGUCAGGGAUCAUGGAAUCACAGAGUCAUGGAAUCAUGGGAUCACGGAAUUACAGAGUCAGGGGUCAUGGGAUCAGGGAAUUACAAAAUCAUGGAAUCAUGGGAUCAGGGAAUUACAGAGUCACAGGGUCAGGGGGUCAUGGGAUUACAGAGUCGGGGGUCAUGGAAUUACAGAGUCAUGGAAUCAUGGGAUCACAGAAUUAGAGAGUCAGGGGUCAUGGAGUCACAGGAUCAUGGAGCCAUGGAAUCACAGAGUCACGGGAUCAUGGAAUCACAGAGUCAUGGAAAUAAUGGAAUCAUGAAAUUACAGAGUCAUGGAAAUCACGGAAUCACAGAGUCAUGGAAUCAUGGGAUCACAGUCACAGAAAUCACGGAAUCACAGAACCACAGAAAUCCCAGAACCACAAGGUUGGAAGAGACCUUUAAGAUCAUUGGGUCCAACCCAUGCCCUAGCACCACCUCAACUAAUCCACCCCGGCCCAAGAGGAUCUCCCAAAUCCAUCCUGACCCAAAAGGAUCAUCCCAAAUCCAUCCUGACCCAACAGGAUCAUCCCAAAUCCAUCCUGACCCAACAGGAUCAUCCCAAAUACAUCCUGACACAACAUGAUCCAUCCUGACCCAACAGAACAAUCCCAAAUCCAUCCUGACCCAACAGAACAAUCCCAAAUCCAUCCUGGCCCAACAGGAUCCAUCCUGACCCAACAGGAUCCCCCAAACUCAUCCUGGCUCAACAGGAUCACCCCAAAUCCCUCUCUGCCCGUGCUGUGGGAGGCACUUUCGUCACCCAGGAAUGCACCACGACCUGAUCCACGUGGGAAUCACCACAGACAGGAGCUGCUGGAUUCCUCGUGGAGGCAGCGAGCCCAGAAAUCCUCCACAAGACUCCUCCUCCUCCACCAAAAGUAGUUUUUCCUUGGAAAAGCCUCCCCGGGCCAAGGGAAAGGUUCAACUCCCUGUGAAAUGGCACCAAUGUCCCAGAAGAUGUAAAAAUGCCCUCACCCCUGUGGGGGUGGGCUUUGGUGAACACCUUUCCUGAAAGCCUUCCAAGAAAAAAAUCCAAUUUUAUACUGCCUCCUCACUUUAAUCACCCCCCCAAUCUCGUUUGCAAAUCGAAAAAAGACAACUAUUUUGGGCACCCCCAAGGCAGAGCUCUGAGCCCCUUCCUCAAAAUAAUCCCUGCCAAGUCUCACAGUCCUCCUCCCCCUGCGAGAACAGACUCCACUCCCACCUGGAACCCCCCUCAAAAUCCCACACCACCCCUCAGAAUAAAGUGCCCAAAUCACCUCCCCCCCAAGCUGCCCCCCCCCCCCCCCCCCCCCCCCCCCCCCCC
rnacentral:lncRNA from 1 species